UCCCGUAGUGUUGGUAUUUGUGACAUGCUGUAAUGUGUUUUUCUUUUAAUGAAAUUUUUGUUUUGCGUUCAUACUCGAACUGUUCUUUCUUUAUCAUAACUGAAGUACUUAGAUUGCUUGCUCCGUAACUUUUCCCAAGGGAUCUACUGUAUUGCUUUCUCCUUCUUGCCCCUUUAAUCGUUCAGAACUAGAGUUCAUUCGGCCAACUGAGCUUUUGACUUACUUUUUUCCGAGCUGGACUAGUCGUACUCAUGGGCUCUGUUUUAAUCCUGUGAGCCGAGCUCUUGACCUUCUUAGGUAAUAAGCAGGGCUGGUCUUUAUCAUGCUUUCAUCUGCUUGUGUCUUUGAGCUUUUUAUUUAUCUUUUUCGAGCUGGAUCAGUCGUAACCCUGAGCUCUGCUUUUAACCUGUGAGCCG
rnacentral:lncRNA from 1 species